AGAGCUCAAAUUUUGAAUCUGGCGGUCUUUCGGCCGUCCGAGUUGUAAUCUAGAGAAGCGUUUUCCGCGCUGGACCGUGUACAAGUCUCCUGGAAGGGAGCGUCAUAGAGGGUGAGAAUCCCGUCUCUGACACGGACUACCAGUGCUAUGUGAUGCGCUCUCGACGAGUCGAGUUGUUUGGGAAUGCAGCUCAAAUCGGGUGGUAAAUUCCAUCUAAAGCUAAAUAUUGGCGAGAGACCGAUAGCGAA
rnacentral:rRNA from 1 species